GAUGAACGCUGGCGGCGUGCUUAACACAUGCAAGUCGAACGAAGCAACUAAGACAGAAGCCUUCGGGUGGAAGAUUUGGUUGACUGAGUGGCGGACGGGUGAGUAACGCGUGGGUAACCUGCCUUACACAGGGGGAUAACAGUUAGAAAUGACUGCUAAUACCGCAUAAACGCACAGUAUCGCAUGGUACAGUGUGAAAAACUCCGGUGGUGUAAGAUGGACCCGCGUCUGAUUAGCUAGUUGGUGGGGUAACGGCUCACCAAGGCGACGAUCAGUAGCCGACCUGAGAGGGUGACCGGCCACAUUGGGACUGAGACACGGCCCAA
rnacentral:rRNA from 1 species